GAUGAAGAACGCAGCGAAAUGCGAUACGUAAUGUGAAUUGCAGAAUUCAGUGAAUCAUCGAGUCUUUGAACGCACAUUGCGCCCCCUGGUAUUCCGGGGGGCAUGCCUGUCCGAGCGUCAUUGCUGCCCUCAAGCCCGGCUUGUGUGUUGGGUCUCGUCCCCCUUCCCGGGGGGACGGGCCCGAAAGGCAGCGGCGGCAUCGCGUCCGGUCCUCGAGCGUAUGGGGCUUUGUCACCCGCUCUGUAGGCCCGGCCGGCGCUUGCCGAUCAACCAAAACUUUUUUCCAGGUUGACCUCGGAUCAGGUAGGGAUACCCGCUGAACUUAAGCAUAUCAAUAAGCGGAGGA
rnacentral:misc_RNA from 1 species